CUCUCUUCUGGAGAGAGGCAAGCAGCUAUCGGAGCGGGAGCCAGGCAGCAGGGCAGGCAAGCUCCUCUCAGGAUCUGGCCGACGUGGAGAGGGAGGACCCAGAUCCCCACUACUCUCGAUCGCUGUACCCAGCCGUCCCUUCUCGCCAUGUCCCACAGCAGGCAUCGCACCGAGGCCCCGCCGCUGGAGCGCGAGGACAGCGGGACCUUCAGUUUGGGCAAGAUGAUAACAGCCAAGCCUGGGAAAACACCGAUUCAGGUAUUGCACGAAUACGGCAUGAAGACCAAGAACAUCCCAGUUUAUGAAUGUGAAAGAUCCGAUGUGCAAAUACACGUGCCCACUUUCACCUUCAGAGUAACCGUUGGUGACAUAACUUGCACAGGUGAAGGGACCAGUAAGAAGCUGGCAAAGCACAGAGCUGCAGAGGCUGCCAUCAACAUCUUGAAAGCCAACGCAAGUAUCUGUUUUGCAGUUCCUGACCCCUUAAUGCCUGAUCCAUCCAAACAGCCAAAGAACCAGCUGAAUCCAAUCGGCUCGUUACAGGAACUGGCUAUUCACCAUGGCUGGCGGCUUCCUGAAUAUACCCUUUCCCAGGAAGGAGGACCUGCUCAUAAGAGAGAAUACACCACUAUUUGCCGGCUAGAGUCAUUCAUGGAAACUGGAAAGGGAGCAUCCAAAAAACAAGCCAAGAGAAAUGCUGCUGAGAAAUUUCUUGCCAAAUUUAGUAAUAUUUCUCCAGAGAACCACAUUUCUCUAACGAAUAUGGUCGGACAUUCCCUAGGAUGUACUUGGCAUUCGUUGAGGAAUUCCCCUGGUGAAAAGAUCAACUUACUAAAAAGAAGCCUCCUCAGUCUCCCGAACACAGACUACAUCCAGCUGCUGAGCGAGAUUGCCAAGGAGCAAGGCUUUACCAUAACGUAUCUGGAUAUAGAGGAACUGAGUGCCAAUGGACAGUAUCAGUGCCUCGCAGAACUCUCCACCAGUCCCAUCACCGUGUGUCACGGCUCAGGCAUCUCCUGCAGCAACGCACAGAGCGACGCCGCGCACAAUGCUCUGCAGUAUUUAAAGAUAAUAGUAGAAAGGAAGUAGGAGCAGGCAGCUGAGCUCUCCAGCUGCGCCUCCGUCCCCCUCGCACCUCUUCCCGGUGAUACACGUUGAGCGUCCUGUCCUGUCCACGUCUCUUCCGGGUCCGUCGGCCUUCCAGAUCCAAUGUCUCCUGGUAGUUGCUGUUAAGCUCUUUUUAAUGGCUUCAACUUUGUACUGGUGAACGCUCUGACGGACAUUUUCGUUUGGAUGGCUUGUUCUCUGCAUGCCGCUAGCUUACCGCAGAAAUUCAAAGGUAAAAUCCUGUAGCUGAAGGACGAUCCACAGGUAUCUGUGGGCAUCAACUGCUUGAUUUUUUUCCCCUAAGCCUAUGCAACAUUGUGUUUUUCCUUGACACAACCAUUUGUUGGUGAGUUACUGGUUUGAAAAAGUGUUACUACAGAAAUGAUGACAACAGAAACGUUUUCCAAUUCAUUCUAUUCUUUUACCAGAAUAUUUCAAGGACUUGACUUGAUUUAAAGGUUAGAAAAAGAGCAGGAGAUGGCUCAGGGAGUCAGGGGGCUUGCUGCUAACCUUGACAGCUUGCUGAUUCUCAGAACCACAUGGAGGAAGGAGAGAGCUGACUCCUCCAAGUUGUCCUCUGACCUCCACAGGUGUGCUAUGACACACACAUACACACAAUCAAUCAAUACAUAAAUAUCAAAAUACAUGCAUUUGAAAAGCUGUGGGGAAAGGCUGGAAAAGGUUAGAUGCUUAAAUGCACAAUGACCUAGUCCCUUCUGGGAGCGUGGCUGAUAUUCUAUGAGACUUCUCCAUGCUUGCCUUGCUGGAGACAGCCACCAAUCAGUCAUCCUUUCUAGGCAGCCUGCAUUCAAAGAGUCACCGUACUGCCCCACAUUGGGAUAAUCAUAAUCUCAUCUCAGUUCUAGAGUUCCCCAUAUGCAGAGACAGCUGAGUCUGCCUUGUGGGUAUAUUUUGUGGGUGGUUUGGAUUUGACUUUGGUUUUUUUAAACAGGGUCACUACAUAGCCCUAGCUGUCCUGGAACUCACUGUGUAGAUCAAGCUGACUUUGAACUCCAGAGAUCCUCCUGUCUCUGCCUCCCAAGUGCUAGAAGUAAAGGCCUGUACCACUGCACCCAGCCAGAGGCUGCCUUUGUGUUUGUGUUACCCCCACUUCUCCCUCUGCCCCACGGGCUUUCCUUUCCUGCCACAGCUAGCAGCCCCUAAUCUAUCCUCUAAUUUCUUUUUUUAAAAUUAUUUAUUUAUUUACUUACUUACUUAUUUACUUAUUUAUUAUGUAUACA